ensembl:miRNA
GGUCUCGCUGUGCAGUCUGGGCUGGCCUUGAGCUCACUUUGUAGCCCAGGCUGGUCUCGAACUCACAACGAUCCUCCUGCCUCAGCCUCCCGAGUGCUGGGAUUACAGGCAUGAGCCACCAUGCCCG